UGCAAAUGAUGUUGAAAGCAAGGUUUGUUUCUCAAAACAUUUGCAGUUGCCGCCUAAGAGCUUGUGCUGUUUGAUCCUUCCUUGGAUGCA
rnacentral:snoRNA from 1 species